rnacentral:rRNA from 1 species
AGUGAACGCUGGCGGUAGGCCUAACACAUGCAAGUCGAACGGCAGCACAGUAAGAGCUUGCUCUUACGGGUGGCGAGUGGCGGACGGGUGAGGAAUACAUCGGAAUCUACUUUUUCGUGGGGGAUAACGUAGGGAAACUUACGCUAAUACCGCAUACGACCUACGGGUGAAAGCAGGGGAUCUUCGGACCUUGCGCGAUUGAAUGAGCCGAUGUCGGAUUAGCUAGUUGGCGGGGUAAAGGCCCACCAAGGCGACGAUCCGUAGCUGGUCUGAGAGGAUGAUCAGCCACACUGGAAUGGAGACACGGUCCAGACCCCUACGGGAGGCAGCAGGGGGGAAUUUUGGACAAUGGGCGCAAGCCUGAUCCAGCCAACCCGGGGGGGUGAAGAAGGCCUUCGGGUUUUAAAGCCCUUUUUUUGGGAAAAAAAAGCAGCAGGUUAAUACCCCGCUGUUCGGACGGUACCCAAAGAAUAAGCACCGGCUAACUUCGU